UUUCGCAAUGCCCGAAAGGGUGACGAAGCGACGCCGCGUGAGUGAGGAAGGCCUUCGGGUUGUAAAGCUCUGUCAGGAGUUAAGAAAUAUAAGUGUGCUAAUACCACAUUUAUUUGACAAAAGCUCCAAAGGAAGCCACGGCUAACUCUGUGCCAGCAGCCGCGGUAAUACAGAGGUGGCGAGCGUUGUUCGGAAUUAUUGGGCGUAAAGAGCACGUAGGUGGGUUUGUAAGUCAGAUGUGAAAGCCUUCUGUUCAACGGAAGAAUUGCAUCUGAAACUGCGAGUCUUGAGUGUAGGAGGGGAGAAUGGAACUUCUGGUGGAGCGGUGAAAUGCGUAGAUAUCAGAAGGAACGCCGGCGGCGAAAGCGAUUCUCUGGCCUAUUACUGACACUCAGUGUGCGAAAGCUAGGGGAGCAAACGGGAUUAGACACCCCGGUAGUCCUAGCUGUAAACGAUGGGCACUAAGUAGAGGGGUUUUA
rnacentral:rRNA from 1 species